AAUCAUUUAUUCAGUAGAACAGGGUAAGAUUUUAGUACGUGAACCAUUUGUUUCCUCUUUCUUUAUGUUCCCAAUUAAAAAAAAAAUGUAAUCAUCAGGUCAGAUAAUUAUGUAUGCACUAAUACAAACUGUUGAUGCUAAUAUGCCAAAGUAGUUAACUUAAUUAAGAAACAGCUUUAUCUGUUCAAUUUUUAUCUAAAUAUGUGAACUACAAGUAUUUAAAAUUGUACAAUAUAUGACGUUGCUAUAUUAUUAAGCUUAAUGGGUAGUUAAAUAAUUGAUAUUUUUUGGAUUUGAAACUUCUCCAUGAGUUUUGAUUUCUUGGAGUCUUCUAAGCGUAAAAUUGCUUUGUUAAUGUUAUUGAGCAAAAUAUCCUUCUUUUGGACGUGCCUUCCUCCAAGAAAAUAAACUGUAUUUGGUAACAAUGUUGUAUCUCUCAUUCUUUAAUUCUCUCUUUAAAUUAAGCAUUGCAGUCCUUUUUUUCUUUGUUUUUUUUCAGGUUAGGCACUAAAAUUUUCCACCAUCUACACUGUUUUCAGACACUUAUGUAUUUAUCCUGCUCAUUCACACUAGUUAUCUCAUAUAUUUAAGUUUCUUCUUCCUUUUCAGUUUGAGACCUCCCAAAGGAAUUCCCAAGCCUUUACAACUAGUGUCCUCUUGAGGUUUUUCAUAUUUAAGUUUCAUCAACAUAUAUCUCAUGCCAAAAAGUGGGCCUUUGGAAGAUAUUGGGGGAGGGGUUCAGGUGCUCACUUGUGGAUUAACUUUGUAUUUGCAGGGCCAUUGUGACAUUUAGCUUAA
rnacentral:misc_RNA from 1 species